GCAGGUACUACUGAAUUGCGUAACUUUACAAUUAUAUAAAAGUCGUUCAAUAUAGAUAUAAUAAUACAUAAGAAUACUAAAAUUUAUCUUAAUUUACGAUUAUGUACAGUUAAACUACUAACUAUAUACAAGUAUUGAAAUCACCAUUUCACUAUAUGUCAUCAUAAAGCUUACUACUAUGCAUUAUGAAUGACUGAGCAUAGCGUUUGGUCUUUGCAGUUGGAAUAUUAAAAGUUCUACGUUUCCUAAAAUAAUAUUUGGCAUUGUUAUUUCUCUGCGGUAGUAGAGCAUGCAGUUUGUUUUUAGAGUCACUUACAAUUGACCUAAAGAGUGAUUUAGAUAAAGAUUCGUGGUGAUCAUGUAUAGAUGCUAGGCCAGCGAGCGAUAGGGCGUCUUCGUAACGCCUUCCUGGGUAAAUGCAGGCUAGUGCUCUUUUCUGAAUCCUCUCCAGAUACGUGAGUAGUGGAAUAUGUGAGUAGUGGAAUACAGGGCAUGCGUAAUCGAUUGCAGAACGGAUACAUGCACAGUAAUAGGCGACUAUUUCUUUUGCUGGGACUUUCGUUCUCUUAAGCUGCACAAGAAAAUACUGCUUGCGAGAUGCUUUCUUUACUAUUUCCUCGAUAUGAUCAUUCCACGUAAGGGUGCUGUUAAUCGUUACGCCGAGUAGCUUUACCUUGCUCACUGGGAUAAUGGUGGACCCCUCAACAUUGACUGGAGAUGGCAAAUUCCGAGACCGACUGAAGGUAAUAGGUAGCUCUUUACAUUUCCUGCAGUUAAGUUGAAGCAUGUUCCUUUUUGACCAUUCAGAUACCUGAUCGACAGCCGAUUGUGCGUCACUUAAAUCUUUAUUUUUGGCUAUUACUUCAGAUACAAUCGUGUCGUCAACGUAUUUCCACAUAUCAAAGGGGUCUCCAGAAAUUGAAAGAUCGUUAAUCAUUAUCAGAAACAGCCAGGGGCCCAACUUCGUACCUUGAGGAACUCCUGCAGGUACGGCUCCCCACUCUGAGAAACAGUCCCGUUCCAGUUUAACCCUCUGAGAUCGACCCGAUAGAAAACUCAUGAUCCAAU